ACGAGCGGCGAACGGGUGAGUAACACGUGAGCAACCUGCCCCUGACUCCGGGAUAAGCGGUGGAAACGCCGUCUAAUACCGGAUACGACCCUCUUCCGCAUGGUCGAGGGUGGAAAGUUUUUCGGUCGGGGAUGGGCUCGCGGCCUAUCAGCUUGUUGGUGGGGUAACGGCCUACCAAGGCGAUUACGGGUAGCCGGCCUGAGAGGGCGACCGGCCACACUGGGACUGAGACACGGCCCAGACUCCUGCGGGAGGCAGCAGUGGGGAAUAUUGCGCAAUGGGCGAAAGCCUGACGCAGCGACGCCGCGUGGGGGAUGACGGCCUUCGGGUUGUAAACCUCUUUUACCACUCACGCAGGCUCCGCGUUCUCGCGGGGUUGACGGUAGGUGGGGAAUAAGGACCGGCUAACUACGUGCCAGCAGCCGCGGUAAUACGUAGGGUCCGAGCGUUGUCCGGAAUUAUUGGGCGUAAAGAGCUCGUAGGCGGCGUGUCGCGUCUGCUGUGAAAGACCGGGGGCUUA
rnacentral:rRNA from 1 species